GCGAGCUGGCCAGACACUCCGUCUUUCCCACAACAGGUGCAUUCAUCCAUCCGCCGACGGUUGGGGAGGUCUUGCUAGCUGGUGGGCUUGGCUCUUUACCCGUUGUCCCCGAGUAGCCCUCAAGCCUGGAUGUAGGUGAGCGUGAGGAUGCUACUAGUGGGUAGAAGGAUGACAGCAGGGACGGGGACGACCCCCCUCCCAUCACUUCCUAAGGUGAUGCACUUGCUCCUACCCCCCAAGCAGCCUCAGUCCCGGCAGCCCCCUCCCCCCGGCCUGGCCUGCCAGCUCAGGGUGAGCCCGGUCGGAUUGUCACUCGACGCCCACUAGUGGCUGAGGAGGCUCCAGUGCGCAGGCUCCGGGCACCGGAUAAAAGCGGAGCUGGCGAGUCCGGCGCCGUCUCGAUGGAGGAGCGAGAAACGCAAGAGGUCGGGGGGAGAAGCCGCAGAAAAAAUUGCAGCCAUCGUCAGCGCCGCCUCCCUGCCACCGUGUAUGGGGUAAAAGCUGCCGUUGCCGCUGCCGGUGCAGUCGCUGCCGCCGCCUCCUAUACUUCUUAGCACCGGGGAAAGAUUCCCCGCCGCGGGACAGUGUGCUGGGCGGGGAGCGGGAGUUCGUUUGUGUGGCGGUGAUUAAACGAGGGAGGGACAGAGCUGGUUUCUCGAACCGAAAAGGGGAGGCCAAGGAAUAAAACAGGGUUCUCCACUAAAAUCACACAGCGAUUACGGAUCUGGCUUUGGGGGCCUUUCCCCGGAAUGGCGGUUUCCGUCUUCUUGGCCCGCAGCACGACCUUGGGUGCUCCGUAAGAGGAGUGGGGAGAGGCAGAGGCGGUGUCGGCAGCCAAUCGGCGUCUGGUGAUUUCUGUCGGGCGCGUAGGGAUUGGCUGACGAUGACCUCAUGCUGCAGCAGCGGGUGGGGCCAGAGUCGUCGGGGGUGGCUGUUGCAAAGGCAGAGAGUGAGAAGUGAUGACGGUGAUCGUUGUCGCCGCGUCUUCUGUGGAACCCAAGCAGUGCCGAAGGAAGUCGCAAGGCUCUUCCCCGACCUUUUGCUCCUCUCCCUGCGCGAGGUGAGGGCCCUGGCUCGGCCUCUGCGAGACUUUGGGGCGCUGGUGCGGCCGUGGAGGCGCAAUUUCUCCUGUGACUUUUGUAACUGCGUCAGGGCAAGAUGGCGCUGGGUCUCCUUGGGGCGCGGGGGGAGAGGCACGUCCACCGCCGCCGCAGCGCAUGUGACCGGCUGCAUUCCUGUGGGGUUUGGCGGGGACCCAGGCAGGGCGGGGGAGGGGACCGGGUUUGGGCGGAGGAGAUGGUGGUGCGGUCGGCGUUGGCUGCCCGAAGAGGAAGAGAUGACUGUUUGAAAGCUCUUCCCCUCCCCCACUCCCCGCAGCAGAACAGCUGCGGGACGGGGGGGGGGGGGGGAGCCCCUGAAAGGACACUCCUUUCGGGGUGUGCCAGCCACUGGUGGAGGAGAAGGUUUGACGCCUUCUUAUCUGCCUUUCUCCUUGCAAAGUAUGCUUACGUAAGGUGGCAGUUCCCUCCUGUAAGCCAACUAGGAGGCCCUGAGUGUCACUGGUAUGGGUAACAAGGACAGGUUAGGCUCUGAAGGCACCACGGGUAGGAGUGUUGAUUAUUUCAGACAAAACAUAAAGUUUGGGGGGUCUGAAUAGAAGACUACAGCAUUCUCAGAGUUUGAAAGCAAGUGAAUAACACCCAGGAACACUUAGGGUUUCUAGGCAGACAGCGAUUAAGGACUGCAUCACAGUCUGAACGGAAGGGCCCUGUCAAACCUUCUCCUUAGAUUCUUUGUGUUCAUUACCCUCCCUGUCUAUACAUCCCAUGAGAGAGUUUAAGUAAUCUUACUGGUGAGGGUUGCCUUUUCAAAUAUAAGUAUUCUUAGUAAUUUUAGUAUUUUGUUCUGUAUGAAACUGAAAGGUCAUUUUCUAUACUUCACGUUGCAUUUUGUCGUCCUUUUAAAAAUAAAAAAUGGAAUUACAAAUGC
ensembl:lincRNA